CUGUGGGCGUGGCCUUUAACACCCUAGUCCUAGCUGCCUGGAAGUCUGUAUUCUGCUAGCAGCCUUCAGAUGAAGAUAUAGAACUCUCAGCUCCUCCUGCACUAUGCCUGCCAUGCUCCCACCUUGAUGAUAAUGGACAGAACCUCUGAACCUGUAUCCCUGCUUCCAGUUGAAAACCCCGGUCCUGUGUGGAGGCCGGACCCUGGCACAGAUGGAGACAGACAGCGGAAUCCCCACAAGCCUGUGGACGAGCCAGCCUUCCAUACACACGAGGGGGAAGACACCCUGUCUCAGACAAGGGCAAGUAUCAACAGAAUCUAAAGACGGGGAACAAAAAGGGAACAAUGUGCAGGCCACAGGCCCAAUGGGAGGCAGCGUCCAAACAGAGAGCCGAUGCUUCUGAUUGCACAGGCCUCGCUCUCUGCGCAGGACCUAGCUAUGCUGGAGCCUGCGCCUCAACGCUGGAUCAGUGGCCGUAAUCCAUCAUCUUUUUAACUAGCACAGACCUGGCCAUGGUGGGGCACAGCAGUCAUCACAGCGCUGUGAGGAGGAGGCAGGCGGAUCCAGAGCUCAAGACCAGCCUUGGCUGCACAGAGAAUUCAAAGCCAAAAGAACAGCUAAGAACAGGUGGACAGUGCUGCAAACCUGCUGCUAUAAAUAAGCAGCUCGUUUUAAAAUGGCUGAAUAAUGUUUUACUUUUAAAAAAAAUACAAGAGACCACAUACUAAAAGAAAGACCAAUCAAAAACAUAAGAGGCCAGCCUCUGGAGGCUGAGGCAGGAGAGUGAAGAAGUAAGUUGGAGACUAGCCUGAGACACGAGAGAGAGAGAGAGAGAGAGAGAG